rnacentral:sRNA from 1 species
AUCGUACUUUGAUUCUAUUACAACUCCGGAUACAAUUAUUGCUCAGAGUAGGCCUGGGCAAAAAAACCGCUAACCGAUUAACCGAACCGAAUCGAACCGAAAAACAUGGUUCGGUUCAGGUUUGGAUAGCUUAAAAUAACCGGUUGAAUAUUAUAUGUCUUAGAUUUCGGUUUCGGUUUCGGUUAGGUUAAUAACCGAUAACCAAAUGAAAACCAAAGCAUAUAUGUAUGAUAGAUAAUAUAUCACAGUAUGUAUUGACACUUAACUAUGUUUUUCUCUUUAUUAGUUUGCAAGUUGAAUUUCGUGAGUUGUGAAUCAGGUGUUUUAAUAUUAUGGAGAGUAUGGACCAUCUUUGUGAGUUGUGAAUAUUUCUCUUUUUUACGUACGUUCUAUAUCGGUUAUUGGUCAAAUUUUUUGGUUGUUUCGGUUUUUAGUCGGUUAUUUCGGUUUUAGUUUAUUUAUGGUUACCAAGUUUAAUAUCCAAACCGAACCGAACCGAAAGAUAUCCGAACCGAACCGAACCAAAAUUCCUCAAAUAUCCAAAUGGUUCUUAUAUUACUAUAACCGAAAUAACCGAAACCAUGCGCAACCGAACCGAAACUGAAUGCCCAGGCCUAGCUCAGAGGCUAUUUGAAAGAAA